GAAAUUCGAAUGAUGCUCAGUAUUUUGUGAAUUGUUAAACCAAUUGCAUGCAUUUAAAAUUCUUUUUUCUGUUUACUUGGGUUAUGUUUACUGGCAAAAUAUCCUCACUUCUGGCAUAACCAGUCCAUUCAAUUUCGAUUCAAUAAAAGCUUAAAUCAUUUGUUGGUCAAACGUGCAGUUUGGUUUCAGUUAACUGGUCACAUUUAAUGAGAAUCGAUUUCAGCGUAAAGACAGUCAUGUCGUUGGGAAUUAAGUUAUUUUUGCCAUUGGUAGUGAUUCUCUGCAUCACAAACACAAUCAAUGCUCAGCAUUCAUUUCCGUCAGCGAAAAGUUGUCACUUGCUCAAAAACUCGAUAGUACGUUUAACGGGAUUAUGCGAGUUGAGAAAAUGUCACGUUGAUUAUAACCACAUCUCUUGUCAUAUAUAUAAAGGUUUAACAUUGUGUGACUGCAAAAAAGGCUACGUGUUCAAUCCGUGCAAUGGGCAAUGUGUUAGGCCCAGAAACUGCCCAAAGAUGAAUGGAAACACCGCGAACUGUCAAGAAAAACGUUAUUAUGCAGAUACAGAGUAUAAGCCUGUGGGUAUUCGAACGGUUGGCCGGUCCUGAAUUAAAGGAGAAAACACAAAAUUUCGUCAUUCGUCAUUAGAAAGAAGAAGCAAAUGAUUGUAUUCUUAAGUGUAUUUAUACUAGUUUUGCUAAAUAAUGAAAUGCCACAUUUUUAUUUGCGGAUUAAGAAAAAUAACAUGAUAAUCGAGCGCGUCACAUAUGUUGUACGUGAAUCAGUGCGCAAAGCGUCAAAGUUGAAAAUAAAACAUUUGAUAAUAAUAAAAUUGAUUUGUUUGCCACGGCUGGUGGUCUCACUGUUGAAUUGUUUGUGUUGUUCACUGGGACGCAAAUCUGGCGAUUUCCAUUCCGACAAUCAGUUUGAGUUUUUUUUUUUUGCUCUCGUAUGAAACGUGCAUGAUAACAAAGUUGUUUUCCUCGGUUACAUUCGAUAUUUUUUUCAUCUGAAAUCGCACUAGAUACGGUGGUAUAAAUGUUACGAACUGAGAGAAUGCCGCUCAGUCUAUUGUUGAAUCAAUCAUUUGCUAAAUUGUUAUUGCCAAUAUUGCUAUUCUGUUGCAAAGAAAUUCAUUUUGAAGAGAAAAGUAAUCAUGUCGUUGGAAAUUAAGUUAUUUUUGGCUUUGGUGGUGGUAAUCAGCAUCACAAACACAAUCAAUGCUCAGCAUUCAUUUCCAUCACCGAGCAGUUGCCACUUGCUCAAGAACUCGAUGGUGCGUUUAACGGGAGUAUGCGAGUUGAGGAAAUGCCACGUUGAUUAUCAUCACAUCUCUUGUCACAUGUUCAAAGGAUUAACAUUGUGUGACUGUAAAAAAGGCUACGUGUUCAAUCCGUGCAAUGGGCAAUGUGUUAGGCCCAGACAUUGUCCAAAGAUGAAUGGAAACACCCCGGAUUGUAAGGAGAAACGUCAUUAUGUAGAUACAGUGUUCAAGCCUGUGGGCGUUCGAAGAGCUGACCAGUCCUAAAUCAAUGGAGAAAACACAAAAUUUCUUCAUUAGAGAAGCUGUAAAGAGAGAAGAAACCAAUGAUCGUAUUUUUAAGUGUAUUAACUUAGUUAGUAUUGCGAAGUAAUGAAAUGCGUUAAAAAGUUAAAAAUGUAUUAAAGACUCGUUUUGAGCGAAUUAUUCGUUCGAAAAAAGAAGAAAUCAUGUAGUAUUGUUUAAGUGAUGACAUUGAAAAUUUAUGUUUAUGAAUAAGAAUAAGAAUAACUAAAUUAUUACAAAUUAUAAACGCUAUCAAUUAAAAAUGCAAAAUCUAAAUUGUAUCGAAAAAUGUAUUCAUAUGAUCAUAAUAAUAGAAUAAAGAGAUUACACUUACGUAAAAAAAGAUUUGUUGCCAUGGCUGGUGGUCUCACUGUUGAAUUGUUUGUGUAGUUCAAACGUACGCAAAUCUGGCGAUUUCCAUUUCGACAAUAAAUACGAGUCAAUUUUUUGCUCCCGUAUGAAACGUGCAUGAUAACAAAGUUGUUUUCUUGGAUUAUACUCAAUAUUUUUUCAUCUGAUUUUCCCAUCAGAUACGGUGGUAUAAAUGUUGCGAACUGAGAGAAUGGCGCUCAGUCUAUUGUUGAUUAUUGAAUCAGUCAUUUGCUAAAUUGUUACUACUAAUUGUGGCAUCAGAAUCAAUUUCGAAGAGAAAAGUAAUCAUGUCGUUGGUAAUUAAGUUAUUUUUGGCUUUGGUGGUUAUCCUUAGCGUCACAAACACAAUAAAUGCACAGUAUGGUCGUCCGAAAACAACAAAUUGUCAUUUGCAUAAGAAUAUGAUUGUACACACAACUGGACUAUGUGAGCUGCGAAAGUGCCAUAUUGAAAAUACCUUGGCUUGCCAUAUAUUCCGGGGAAUAGAAAUGUGCGACUGUAAAAGAGGGUACUUGUUCAACCAGUGCACUGGCGAGUGCGUCCGACCAAAGCAAUGUCCAAAGAUUGUCAAAGGAAAAGUGAUUUGCGAUUAGGCGGUCAAAACAAUCUAGCUGUUACGCAUCCCUAAUUUAACGGAGAAAUAGUGUUGAAAAGUUGAAAAUGUGUUAAAGACUCGUUCUGAGCCAAUUUUUCGUUCGAAAAAAGAAGAAAUCAUAUGGUUUUGUUAAGUGUAUUCAUUAGUAUUGUCAUUGUUGACAUUGAAUAUUUAUGUUUAUGAAUAAGAAUAAGGAAAAUUAAUUCAUGUUAUCAAAUAAACACACAAAGUUUAAAUUUUAUCGAAAAAUGUAUCAAUAUGAUGAUAAUAAUAGAAUAAAAAGAUUACAU